CGGCUGUUAAAUUCAUAUUUAAGCAUAAAUGCAUUACUUUUGCGCGUUUGAUUGACCAGCAAUCCUGUUUGAAACUAAAGCCAUGUAACAACACAUGAUCAAUUUGCAAAUUGCGGAAGAAUGAGAAGUUAUUCCAUAGGGAUUAAACUUUUUAAAACUGUAUUUGGAUUGACGCUGUUUAUUAUGUAGGCCUCAAAUCAAUUUCCCGCCUCAAAUAUAUAAACAGCCUCCUUGAUGUGUCAUUUCCAUAGAGUUAUGUCCCUUAUAUAUUGGGUCAUAGACGUCACAAAAGCAUGUCCAUCUUCUUACAUAUUUGUAAAAUUUACCAAUGUCCUAUGACGUCAGCAUUACCAAUACGUCGUCGAGGAAAACAUGUUGUUGUAUCAGACAGAAGUUGGAACUUUAUAUUGGAAUGAAAUCGAUAAUAGUCC
rnacentral:lncRNA from 1 species